rnacentral:lncRNA from 1 species
CUGUGCCGCUCAUAUACAAAUGGAAAUGGGAUGUGCAUGAGCGUCCCCCUCUCCUCACCCUCUCUUUCUCUCUAUCUCCCCCUCUCUCUCCCAUCUGUCAAGACAAUAGAUUUUAAUCUUUAAUCCAUGAGCAGCCAUUGAAUACUCGGGAAUUACGAAUUACAGAUGUUUUACUGUGCUUUUUUCCCCUCCCAGAAUCCUCACUGCCCGCUGUCGAUCUCCCCGCUCAGGCCCUUCAGCUACCUGUGAAAUGAUGUCAACACACACAAAGGUGAUCACACACUCACAUUUGCAAUAAACAAAUGGAGAGACAGGGGGGAGGCGCACUCGUAUACACACACACACACACACAAUGCACACCCUCAUUCUGUGCCAUCAUGCUACCAUAUGACACUGUCAUCAUUUGGUAAUUAAACCCUUGCUGGCUUUAAAUAUGAAAAGCUGGCAAGAGUUGAUGAUGAUGAUACUGGCUGUCGCUCAGCCCAGAUUUCCAGCAAACCAUCCAGACGUCAGGCAGGAAACAUAUUGUCCCGCUGUUGUCUUAGUUUGGCGGACUAUUUCUCUACAGAAGAGAAGAACCAGACUCAGGAGAACUUUACUGAUCCUGCUGUGAAAUUUAAGCUUUACAUUUGCUAAAUGUAACAGAAAGAGAGGGCGCAGAGAUAGAGGGGAUACUAAUAUAAGUAGUGGUAUGCAACCAUCUGAUAGCAUCCAUUUAUCUCUUAAGAAUAAACAGGUUUGAGGUAAAUUACUGUGUGAGAAUAUCAAACAACAAAGGUGUAAAUGCAUGAUAUUUGCCAAAGGUAGAAAAUUAUAGAUAUUUUUCCAUGAAUUUUUACAGUAUUUGUCUAAAUUUUAAAGCAGUUAUACAGUUUAAUUCCAUUUUUAGCUUUUUAAAAGACAGUAUUACAACACAUCCAAGGAGUGAUUGGUCAUUUCCAAUAGUCAGUGGUAAAUUUAGUUGGAAAAACUAGAGUCUGAGUACAUUUAACUAGAAGUAAAUUUGUUGUAAAAAUUACCUUUACAAAACAUAAAUGACUACAAUCAAGUCUUUAAAACUUUAAAACCAAAUUCAAAACAUACCCUUUUAGUCUUGCUUGUAACUAAAUUUUAUAUCAUUAACUUUAAGUGUUUUAGGAUUAAUCCCUUUCUAGUUUUAAUGACAGGAUCAUCUUUUAUUGAGUUAUUUUGGUGCUCUUAUUUUAGUAUCUUUUACUGUUGUUUUUAUAUCAUUUUAUUUAUUAUUUCUUAAACUUCAUUCCAUGUUACUUUGUUUUUAGAUUUUAACCUAAACAUCCAGUGUUUCCUUAUCUUGAGUUUUAAAAUGACAUUUCUUCAUUGUGUACAUUCCUGUUCCCCUUACCCUAACCCUAACCCGAAAUCAAGCCCUUUUUAAGUUUAUGUAUUUUAAUACUGUUUCUGUUGCAUUUAGAUCGUGGGGUGGGAAUGAGGGGUUAGGUUAGAGUAGAUUUGGGUUUUCUUUGUUGCUUUUAUUUCUUUUUCUGUGUAAAGCACUUUGUGCUACAUAGUUGUGUAUGAAAAGUGCUGUAUAAAUAAAGACUGAUUGAUUGAUUGAUCUAAGCUAAAGUAGAAGUUAAGAUAAGAAAGUUUGUUUAAUUAGUCUGUAUGAUGUUUGAAUUGUUGUCUUUUUUCCUAUAACAUUGAAUUGGCCUACUAUGCAUGAUGAUCCUACACUAUAAACUCAUGUUGUCCUGUAGAGCUGAGUACAGAAAUGUAUAUAUGACUAUAAUAAAAUAAGAAAUUUAAACUUUAAAGACAGAUAGUUUUUGACCUUUAUAAACAGUUUAUUUGCAUGAUAUCUUAUAGGAGAUUGGUACAUUUUAAUCAUUUAAACUCGAAGACUGCGCUCUGAGAACUGGUAGGUGCAGCUCGGUGCAUAAAGUUACAGUGAGGAAAGGGAGGAGAGGGGAGAAGGGGGUGCCAGGGAGAGAUUGGGGGGGUGGGUGGGGGCGGCAUGUGGGGUGAAGGAAGGAGGUUUAUUUAAUGUUCAGCCCAUGAGCAAGUGGGACACUAUUUUAAAACCGAGGCAGGCAGAGGAGGGGGCGGGAUGUUGGAGGGUUUCAGAGGAUGAAGGGCGGAAGUGCAGGUGAGAACUUUGGCUGUCCCUGAAGAGGAGACAGGAAGAGACACACACACACACACACCCUCCUUUCAGCCCCCUGGCAAUCUUGGACAGAGUAGAUACCAUUGACCAGUCUAAUGGACUCCGCCAUAAGAUCUCCCCCCACACUCUCUCUCACACACACACACACUCACACACACUCAUAGACUACAGCGUCCAUCCAAAAUCACUCCUCUGCCUUCCUUUCUCCCUCUGCCUCUCCAACAGACUUCGCUCAUAGCCCGUAAAUGUGGUGUGAGGCUCGGAGAGGAGCUUAGGUUCCAUUACUGACAGCCCACACAGCUUUAUGGCCGUUUAAGCUCCUCCAUUUGGGUUCCUCCCAUUCGGAUGUUCCUGCAGACCCCCAGUGUGUCGCCAGCACAGAUAGAUGGAGAAAAAAGAAACACUAAAGAUCAUUAAUGUUGAAAUUAUGGAAGCUGAUUAGACUCCUAAUACUGGGAAUGUGUUUGAAUACUCAGAAAACAUCUAAUUAAGCAGUAAAAACAACGUCAUCAUGAGGUUUUCUACAUUUGCCAGUAAUUUCCAAUUUUUGAAAUUAGCAUAAAUUUGACAUUUUGGCUGUUUGCUGUGAGAUACUGAUUUCUGCUUACAUCCCUGUAGACCAAUGUACUUCAUAAAAAAUGAACUAAAUAUUUUUAUAAACCAUUAAUAAUCGUAUUACAGUAACAACUUUAAGUGUAACUUUUUGAUUCGGCCAUUUAUUUGUGUUUUAUUUAGAUAAGUUUUGGGUUGGGGAUGGUUUAUUGAUAUAUGAUAUAAGUGCAUGUAACUGUAAACUUUAAUAUGAUCUGAUAGAAUGAUCUCAGAAAUGCAUUACAUUUGUUUUAGACUGACAUUUUAAUUUCUUUUUUUUAAUAAUUUCAUUAAUUGCAUUUGCUCCACUGUGAGUCCAUCAUAAGUGUUAACAGACAGAGCUGAGAGCGACCAAGUAUAUUUGUUUUUCAUCACGUUUUAGGGUACAAUAACACCUUUUUUUACUUGUUUUCAUGCAUAAACAUGUGUAAAUUGUAUAUUAUUGUAUACAUGUGGUGUCGAUUAAAUAGACACCGCUGAGACUUUCAAAGUAAGCUGCAGUUUAAAUGACACUUUAAGUAAGAGGAGAUCUUUUUUAAGUUGAGUGUCUCCGAUAUAAAGUGUUGUAUAAUAUCCAUUACUGGUCCUUGGUCCAGUGGCAGUCUUAUUGCCUUUUCUGAACUCCGAGCACUGUAAAGAGACUGAUAACACAAAAUGUUUGUUAAAUAGCCGAUAGAGAGGCUAUAAUCUUUUAAUGUUGGAUUUUAUAGCUUUACCACGCUCUGCCGUUCUUGUGGAUAUUGUAAUAUUGCAUUUUUACUGGUUAUUCAUCUGUUAAUGUUCCAGUUACUAACUUUUAUUCUCUCCCUUAUACUUUUUUUUUUGUAUUCUCUCACACUGUUAAACACACAGAGAAAGUUUCCUCUGGGAACUUUAUGUAUGUGUGUGAGCUGUCUCACUAGGCUGAAUCUCUGGAGAGCAGGAGCUCUUAUGAAGGUGAUGUACAGGGGCGCUGCCAGGGAUUUUGGGCCCCAUGGAUAAAGAUAAAAGUGGGCCCCAACGCUUAAAAUAUUCUGCUAUAUUUCAGGGCCCCUAUUAGUCAUGGACCCUUUGAAUCUUCCUAAGUUUUCCCUGGAUGUUGCUCUAAAUGAUCUGACAAAUUUAAACACGUAACAUAAUAACAGAUGUGACUAAAUUUCGAUGACAAGGUUUUGCUUUAGUCAACCCUUGAGUCAGUGGUUCUCAACUGGUGGGUCCCAACCCAAAAGUGGGUCGCGGACACGUUCUAGAUGGGUCAUGAACAGCUGGUCAAAAAAGUAAAUAUUUAAUGCGAUACUUAUUACUCUGAAAUGCACUUUACUCAAUAAAACAAGUGGAUUUAUGUUAAAUAUUAGAGUCUUUAAAGGUUUUUUUUUUAUGAAAAAUAAAUUUGCUUGGUUUGAAUUCUAUAAAAGUGGGUCCCGACUUAAGGACCAUGGGAAAAUGUGGGUCCCAGGGUAAGACCAGUUGAGAACCACUGCCUUAAGUAUUAAUUCUCUCUCUCUCUCUCUCUCUCUCUCUCUCUCUCUCUCUCUCUCUCUCUCUCUCUCAAUGCUAACCAGUAUUUAGUUUGCCUGAGCUGCACCCUUGCUAAACCAAUAGGACAUGGAAAUGAUAGUAUUGCCAAACACAGUGACACAAACUGUAGAUUUUAGUUGCAUGACGUUUCAUAUAAAAAAUUUUUUUUUCAUUUUUAAAAUAAAAACUCAAAAUCUGGCACUUCUGAGCCCAAUUUAAUGCAACAAAUAAAUGAAAUAAAUGUGUCUUAUUAAUAAAUAAUUCAUUUUAGUUUGACAUGCAGUGUUUUUCUGUCGUUUUUGACACACACAUUUCUCCAAAAAUUAGAAAAAAAUAUAGAAUUUCAUCUUUUUAAUUUCUGCUGCAUUAGCUGUCAUACAUAACCAAGAAUUACGUCUUAAAGUUAUGAUUUAACACAUUUUGGGCUGACUUUAAGCUCUGCAGAGAUACAUCAAACUUAGAAGUUGUUAAUGAAAAAAUAGACCACAUUAAGUUAAAUAUAAAUAUAUAUUUUAUACCGUAGACUUUAGACCUCCUGCUGUUAAGUGGGGCUCUGAAACCCACAUUUAUUCGACUUUUACAGUUCUUACAGUCCUCUCUUAAUUCAGCAGCUGCAUCACUCAAUGUUUCCUCUGAUUUCUACUUUUUUCCCUCUCUUUCUUUCUUUAUCAAUCUCUAGCUCAUUGGAGCAGGGUUGCUUCCGCUUUUUGUUGUCGCCUAAACCGUUUAGUUUUGGAUGAUCGCUCAAAGAUUCUGACAAGCAGCGGGGAGAAGCGCGACGUCCCAGCCGGGGAGGGAGCGCAGGAGGCCGGACAGAUCUGCUGGGCUGCAUCGGGGAGACGCACCAUUAGACAGGGGGAGAGGCACGGCUGAGAGCGCGGGUCGAUCAGGUAAGGAUUCCUCCUCUCUGACUCGCUCUAAUGUCACUGUUUGUUUGCAGGUGUGCAUGCAUGUGUGUGUGGGGGGAGACAAAACUGAGAGAAGGCUGGAGACAAGUCUGUAUUUUUGUUUAUUUUUAUUUUUUAUUUUUGGGGAGAAAAUAAAGCAAAUUGGGUUUUUACUUUGAUAUUUG